ACUUCCUCCUCCAUAUCUCAGGCAGUCUGCUCUGAGUGACAGUGAGUAUGUCUCUUGUGUAUCCAAUUUCCAUGCUAACAGCUUGUUCCAGCUUCUUUUAAGUCAGCAGGAGUUUUCCCAGUGACCACAAUCUGAGUGAAGUGUAAGGCCCUAGAUGGGAUCCCUGGCUGUGGAGGUAGCAGAACAUAUCGGAACCCCUGAAGUUCUCAGGCUAGCAACAGUGUGAGCAGCUUGUAUCCCAGCAUGGAGGAGAGGACCAGUGGGAGAAGCCCAGAGUGUACCAGCCAGAUGGUAUCCUAAACCGAUGCAGCUAGCAGCAGUGUUGUUUCUAUUACACUACCUUAAUUACCAUGGAGACGAUUACAAGCAAAGAGUUCUAAAUUCAGAAGAGAAAAAUAAGAAGCAAGCAACAGGAGAACUUGUAAACAAAAAAGUUCCCUUUCUUAUGCAAAUUUCCCUAGUCAUAAUAAUAACUAAUAAGGAAACAGCUUUUGCCCUUAACUAUGUUUGACACAUCUGUAGAAUUUUUUCUGAAUGUAAACUUUUCUAUUGUUAGCUCAUUAAAUUGCAGGUGACAUCAGCAUUCGACCUUCCAUUUGACCCUCUUUUUAAAACAGCAUUUUCCUCCUCAAAACUGUAUGAG
rnacentral:lncRNA from 1 species